UACAGAGGUCUCAAGCGUUGUUCGGAUUCAUUGGGCGUAAAGGGUGUGUAGGUGGCGCCGUAAGUCGGGGGUGAAAUUUCGGAGCUUAACUCCGAAACUGCAUUCGAUACUGCGGUGCUUGAGGACUGGAGAGGAGACUGGAAUUCAUGGUGUAGCAGUGAAAUGCGUAGAGAUCAUGAGGAAGACCAGUGGCGAAGGCGGGUCUCUGGACAGUUCCUGACACUGAGACCCGAAGGCCAGGGGAGCAAACGGG
rnacentral:rRNA from 1 species